AGAAUCAACGCUGGCGGCGUGCCUAACACAUGCAAGUCGAACGAGAAAGUGGAGCAAUCCAUGAGUAAAGUGGCGCACGGGUGAGUAACACGUGACUAACCUACCCUUGAGUGGGGGAUAACCUCGGGAAACCGGGGCUAAUACCGCAUAAUAUCGAGAGAUCAAAGGAGCAAUUCGCUUAAGGAGGGGGUCGCGGCUGAUUAGCUAGUUGGUGAGGUAAUGGCUCACCAAGGCUAUGAUCAGUAUCCGGCCUGAGAGGGCGCACGGACACACUGGAACUGAAACACGGUCCAGACUCCUACGGGAGGCAGCAGUGGGGAAUUUUCCGCAAUGGAGGCAACUCUGACGGAGCAACGCCGCGUGCAGGAGGAAGGUUUUCGGAUCGUAAACUGCUUUCUCGGGGACGAGCAAGGACGGUACCCGAGGAAGAAGCCCGGCUAACUACGCGCCAGCAGCCGC
rnacentral:rRNA from 1 species